GUCUCCGAGCAGAGAAAAACAAUGCAACGAGAGGCAAGAAGUUGGCAUUCAACACGUUACCACCAUGGUCCAGCCCUAUAUCCCUAGUUUCUCUGGGCAAACCUGUUGGAACCUGACCGGUGCUGGGGAGAGAGAGCAGCGUUUGACGUGAAGCCCGACCUCACGACUUGCAUGGACUCCAGGAAGCCUAGAGAAUAAUGUCCACCUGGAUGCAACCACUGUUGGCGCUUUGCCAUACGUACCUUCCUCCUUUCCGUCUCCCACGUUGUUGACCUUGAAGUGCGUGAAGUUCAACUGCAGACAUGGAACACCGGAUGCCUCACAUCUUAGUCCAUAAGGAGUCGUCCCCUGAGGGAGGACCAUCUUCUGUCUUACUCCAGAAAUAAAGUCCUUCUCCUGCUAGCU